rnacentral:lncRNA from 1 species
AUGCUCGACUAACAUUUUUGUUUGACUCUAUUUCAGUAUGCUACAAGGCAACGUUAGUGAAUAUUACUUCCACAAUUGUAAAACCGCACCAGUUAUUAUUGUUCUUGGAAAAGGUAUAAUCUCUCUGUUGAACCAAAUUAUUGAACUUCUUAGUUUUCAAGUCUUACGAAGUGAUAUAAAUUUUAUUCAAUAACAGAGGCAGGGGAAGAAUCUGUUGUGUAACGGAGCAGGCAAAGAUGAGCAACUCCAUCGAAUCCUUGUCCAGCAUGUUAAUGUCGACUCCAGCUGUUUCUUGAGAGCAAAUUUCUGUUCAGAAUGAUUGUGUGUGUUUAUAUGGAUUAGAUUUUUAUGUAUUGAGUCAUUACUAACGUUAAAAUUUGUGUAUUAAAUAGCAUCUCUAUUUAUUUGAUCGACUUGCUUCCUCACAGCUACAGAUUUUUCAUCCUGCGUGUAAACUAUGUCAUGGUUAUUUAUAUAAGCACACUCACGCAUGCAUCCUCUAAACUUGGGAGAGAAAUGCUGACAUUGCCAGAAAAAGCUGCUUACUUCUUGGCAUUCUGAUAUUGGACUAUUUAAAAAAUAGCCAAAUUUUGAACCAAUCAUCUACCGUCAACAUUGCAUCUGUCAAAUAGGCGGGGAAAAAUAAAAUCAUCUGACAAAAUGAUUGGAAAUGGCAAGACAGCCUACAUGAUUCCCCGUUCGGAAAAAAGGAAAUUCCUCAUAUAAUGUAGAAUUUUACAUCUAAAAUGUUCACAGGAGUGUUUGAAAUGUUCGGCAGCCACGUAAUACAACAAAUGGUCUUUACUCAAGGAGAUGGGAAUGGAAGGACAAGAAGUGAAACGUGAACUUGAUCAUCCUCAAUCAUCAUAAUCUUUUUGUUUGCUUCAGCAGAGCGUUGGCUUCACUUAACAAAUGUAGUUUCUUGGAUUGCUCUUAAAAAAUGUGUCACUAAAUAAUGAUUGGUUUGGCAUCUUCCAGCAACUCCUUAACAACAAAAACUAUGUACAAGGCAAAUCCGAUUUAAACAACACAUCAUCAACUGUCGUGAAUCGGAGCUUGUAACAAAAUAUAUACAAAGCGGGCCAUGUAGGUGGUAGCGACUGACAUAAUUAACAAUUUUCUUGACCCCGUAAAUGAUUGAGCUAUAAGUCUCCAAACUUGGAUUGGAAAUAGACGAGCAGAUGGAAAUCUGCAGAAUAAUAACGUCAUCCCAUCAAAAUCAUACAUGUCAUGUCUAUAGAAAAAUUAAAUUUACCUGCACCCCAAGAGAUGUAUUUAAGAUAUGAAUAAAUUAAUAUUUUUCUCUCUUAACAUUUUUAACUUCAAUGAUUUCACAAAAGGAAUGAGAUUUAAUGAUUUAACAAUAUAUGAGUUACUAGCUGUAACACAUUAAAUAUUUAUCAAACUAAUUCCUGGCGUGUGUAACGCACGUGGUGUAUUGUAAUAGAGUAUUUCAUUGAUGGACUUACCAAAUUCUUAUUGUAGUCUGCCUUUUUUGCUCAUGGGUCUACAAACACUCGACCUCCUCUUCCUCCACCCAUUCCCUCUAAAUAAUUGCAUACUGAAAAGGAAAACCAAGACAUACGUUUCCUCUCUUUUUUUGCCCGAGUUAAUGGAAGGGAAGAUAUGCUUGUUCCCUCACUAUAAAGAAGAAACAAACUCCUUAGCAACACUCACAACCCAAAAAAGAGGAGGAAAGUCUUAUUAUCAAUAAUUAAUUUCAAUUGAUUUCAAUAGAAUUAACAUGAAGCCCAAUUUCUGCAUGAUAAUUCUUCAUGAAAUCCUAAUUUCACCAAUCCGAUUAACCCAAUUUGAAUUCAAACAUUUUACAAAAUUUGAAGCCAGAAACGCAAAUUAAUGGUGGAAAAUUGUUUGUUUGUUAGUUGUCACCUUGAAUCUAGAAUCCAAUUUUCCGUGGUAGUCCUUACUCAUCAUCUUCCUCCUACAUUAAUUAAAACAAAAUAAUAAGUCAACACGGUCACCAAAUUUCAAGUAAAAAAGGUUGUAUAGCUAAAUCUCAACUAACAUCUCCAUUGCUCUUAUUGUCCUCAUCAUCAUCAACCUCAGACUUUGACUUGCCACACUCAUCAUUAGCACUUCCAAUCUACAAAAAUAGUUCGAUAUAAGUUGUUUCGAUAUCGUAGUCUAAACUAAACAAUGUGUAAGGAUAUGCUUCUCAUAGAUGGAUUGUCAAUUUCUUGUUAUAGUAUGCCAUUUUUGCUCAUAUUCCUCCUUUGGUUUCUGUCUUUUUGCACAAGGGAGCUUUUUCCUUAUUUUCAUAACAACAGGAAAUUUAAGAAGAAUAAAACAUAAAUAAUAUCUUAGAUUGCCUAUAUUUACCUCAUCACUCAUGGACACUCACUUAUCUCCACCAGCUUUUCCAGCCUAUAUUAUUAUUUAUUCCCAAAAGGAAAACUAGAAAUCAUAAAGAAAAUUAUCAUGCACACGCUCCUAGUGCAAAUAUCUGGCUUGAAUAUUAACCUUCAAAGAAAAUUUUAAAAAAAUGAUGAACUUAACAACAAUUGAUUCGGAUAUUUUUUCUUGGAUUGUUUCGUGAACCCUUCCCUAAAAGUAGAAAUAGCAUUGAACAGUUUAAUGGUCUAAUCAACCUUUUGCACUUGGAGGCCUCUUUGGCUUGUUUGGAUCCUUCACUUUCUUUUUCUUCUUGGCCUUCCUUGCAGCAAGCCUAAUAUUACCAAUGCAAAAUUAAUCACAGAUAACAAGAGUAUCAAGCAAAAUGUGAAAAAAGGGGGUGAGGCAAAACUUACGGCAGCUCGAAGAAAAUCAGUGUCACAUCUCAACUCUAUCAAUUUCAGCAAUCAGUUAGAGUAACAUUUAACACCAUCAAUAACCAUCUGAUCAUGUUGCAACAAUAAACAUUACGGAGAGCAGAUGUGCAAAGCUAUAACAGGUACCUAACAACCCAAAGUGAGUAUAUGUUCUAUAUGAAAUGUGCGUCCACGUAUGGAAUAUCAUCUAUCAAUAUGAAUAACAGAUCUAAACGCACACGGAUGGAUAUACUUUCCCUACUCACACAAAACCUUUUUUUUCACAAAAAAUCAUUUUUCCCGAAAUUCCUUGUAUGAUCUUCCAACAAUCAAAUGAUCAAAAAGAGGUAAUACUAUUACAAAAAUUCUAUAAAGAUAUUUAAAAAAAAAAAAAAAAGGGAAGCCAAGAGAUGAUAAAUAUCCAUCUUUUGAUAAAAUAAUUCAAUUUUACUAUGCAACCCGGGAAAUAAUCA